rnacentral:rRNA from 1 species
AGAGUUGAUUAUGGCUCAGAACGAACGCUGGUGGCGUGUCUUAUACAUGCAAGUCGAGCGAGGCAGCAAUGCCGAGCGGCGAACGGGUGAGUAACGCGUAAGCAAUCUGCCCCAUAUCAGGAAAUACCCGUGCCAACGCGCGGUUAAUGUCCAGGAGAGUGGCCCCUUGCAUGAGGGGUUGACUAGAGAUUCAUCGGUAUGGGAUGAGCUUGCGUCCGAUUAGCUAGUUGGCGGGCAACGGCCACCAAGGCGACGAUCGGUAGCCGGCCUGAGAGGGUGAUCGGCCACAUUGGGACUGAGAUACGGCCCAGACUCCUACGGGAGGCAGCAGUAGGGAAUAUUGCACAAUGGGGGAAACCCUGAUGCAGCAACGCCACGUUGUGGGAAGAAGCAUUUCGGUGUGUAAACCACUGUCAUGAGGGAAUAAGGCCCGCCUUCGGACGGGAUUGAAUGUACCUUGAGAGGAAGCACCGGCAAACUUCGUGCCAGCAGCGGC